GAUGAACGCUGGCGGCGUGCUUAACACAUGCAAGUCGAACGGGAAACCUUUUAUUGAAGCUUCGGCAGAUUUAGCUGGUUUCUAGUGGCGGACGGGUGAGUAACGCGUGGGUAACCUGCCCUAUACAGGGGGAUAACAACCAGAAAUGGUUGCUAAUACCGCAUAAGCGCACAGGGCCGCAUGGUCCGGUGUGAAAAACUCCGGUGGUAUAGGAUGGACCCGCGUUGGAUUAGCCAGUUGGCAGGGUAACGGCCUACCAAAGCGACGAUCCAUAGCCGGCCUGAGAGGGUGAACGGCCACAUUGGGACUGAGACACGGCCCAGACUCCUACGGGAGGCAGCGGUGGGGAAUAUUGCACAAUGGGGGAAACCCUGAUGCAGCGACGCCGCGUGAAGGAAGAAGUAUCUCGGUAUGUAAACUUCUAUCAGCAGGGAAGAUAGUGACGGUACCUGACUAAGAAGCCCCGGCUAACUACGUG
rnacentral:rRNA from 1 species